rnacentral:rRNA from 1 species
GACGAACGCUGGCGGCGUGCUUAACACAUGCAAGUCGAACGGAAAGGCCCUGCUUUUGUGGGGUGCUCGAGUGGCGAACGGGUGAGUAACACGUGAGUAACCUGCCCUUGACUUUGGGAUAACUUCAGGAAACUUGGGCUAAUACCGGAUAGGAGCUCCUGCUGCAUGGUGUGGGUUGGAAAGUUUCGGCGGUUGGGGAUGGACUCGCGGGUUAUCAGCUUGUUGGUGGGGUAGUGGCUUACCAAGGCUUUGACGGGUAGCCGGCCUGAGAGGGUGACCGGCCAAAGUGGGACUGAGAGACGGCCCAGACUGCUACGGGAGGCAGCAGUGGGGAAUAUUGCACAAUGGGAGGAAGCCUGAUGCAGCAACGCCGCGUGCGGGAUGACGGCCUUCGGGUUGUAAACCGCUUUAGCCUGUGACGAAGCGUGAGUGACGGUAAUGGGUAAAGAAGCACCGGCUAACUACGUG